CCACUGCUUUCAUUACAAGUCACCUCUGUCUUGUCACAAAAGUUUCUAUCCAUUUCUAUCAAGGUGUGUUUUGCAAUGUACAUUUCAAAUUAUAUGCAUGGGGGUCCGAUCAAGUGGUAACACGUGGAUACAUUUCGUGUUCAACAGUCUCUGUCAUGUAAGCAGAGUAACUUAUAUGAAUGUAUUAUGCAUAUUUGAGUAGGUAUUUAUAAGCUCUUUAACAUUAUGUAUAACAAAA